CCAAAAGGAUUUAUAUGGUUUUGUGUCAUGGAAGCCCUAAGGUGUCAUAGUGCCCUAAGGUGGUGCUGCAUCUCGAGCUACCAGAAGGCAAGUACAAGUGAAGAUAACGUCGGAGACGUGCCGUGCUCCCCUUUCGUCAUUGCCAAAGGAGAGAACUUUCUGACUGCCGGGGUAUUUACCAUCUGUAUUGAUACCCAUGCUGUGAUCGAAUCCACCACACGGUGCCAGGCAUUCAAGUUGAUGCUCUUUACACACUUCGCCUUUACUACUGAAUACCGCAAGGAGGUCAGCCUAACCCUGGUGUUCACA